rnacentral:rRNA from 1 species
GCGGCCUAUCAGCUUGUUGGUGAGGUAAAGGCUCACCAAGGCGACGACGGGUAGCCGGCCUGAGAGGGCGACCGGCCACACUGGGACUGAGACACGGCCCAGACUCCUACGGGAGGCAGCAGUAGGGAAUACUGGGCAAUGGGCGAAAGCCUGACCCAGCGACGCCGCGUGAGGGAUGAAGGUCUUCGGAUUGUAAACCUCUUUCAGUAGGGAAGAAGCGAAAGUGACGGUACCUAAAGAGGAAGCACCGGCUAACUAUGUGCCAGCAGCCGCGGUAAUACAUAGGGUGCAAGCGUUGUCCGGAAUUAUUGGGCGUAAAGAGCUCGUAGGUCGUUUGUCGCGUCGAUUGUGAAAAUCUGAGGCUCAACCUCAGACCUGCAGUCGAUACGGGCGAACUAGAGUGUGGUAGGGGAGACUGGAAUUCCU